GCUUGUCUCAAAGAUUAAGCCAUGCACGUCUAAGUAUAAGCGAUUAUACUGUGAAACUGCGAAUGGCUCAUUAUAUCAGUUAUAGUUUAUUUGAUGGUCCUUGCUACUUGGAUAACCGUAGUAAUUCUAGAGCUAAUACAUGCGUCAAGUCCGGACCGCGCGAGCGGGAAGGAUGUGUUUAUUAGAUACAACCAACCCUUCGGGUCCCUGGUGAAUCAUAAUAACCGAACGAACCGCAUGCUUCGGCGGCGGUGGUUCAUUCAAGUUUCUGCCCUAUCAGCUUUCGAUGGUAGGGUAUUGGCCUACCAUGGCGUUAACGGGUAACGGAGAAUUAGGGUUCGAUUCCGGAGAGGGAGCCUGAGAGAUGGCUACCACAUCCAAGGAAGGCAGCAGG
rnacentral:rRNA from 1 species